CCUACGGGAGGCAGCAGUGAGGAAUAUUGGUCAAUGGGCGGGAGCCUGAACCAGCCAAGUCGCGUGAGGGAUGACGGUCCUAUGGGCUUUAAACCCCUUUUGCCGGGGAGCAAAGUGCCGCACGUGUGCGGUUUGGAGAGUACCCGGAGAAAAAGCAUCGGCUAACUCCGGACCAGCAGCCGCGGUAAUAGGGGGGAUGCGAUGGUUACCCGGAUUGAUUGGGUUUAACGGGUGCGUAGGCGGACGCGUAAGUCAGCGGUAAAAUUGCGGGGUUAAACCGCGUCGAGCCGUUGAAACUGGGUGCCUUGAGUGGGCGAGAAGUACGCGGAAUGCGUGGUGUAGCGGUGAAAUGCAUAGAUAUCACGAAGAACUUCGAUUGCGAAGGCAGCGUACCGGCGCCCAACUGACGCUGAGGCACGAAGGCGUGGGUAGCGAACAGGAUUAGAUACCCCAGUAGUC
rnacentral:rRNA from 1 species